rnacentral:rRNA from 1 species
UACGAGUGCUCCAAGCGUUAUCCGGAAUCAUUGGGCGUAAAGGGUGUGUAGGUGGUUGUGUUAGUCUUUUGUUAAAUUCUUCGGCUUAACCGGGGGCAUGCAAAAGAAACGGCACGACUAGAGGAUGCGAGAGGCACAUGGAACUCAUGGAGUAGGGGUGAAAUCCGUUGAUAUCAUGGGGGACACCGAAAGCGAAGGCAAUGUGCUGGCGCACUCCUGACACUGAGACACGAAAGCGUAGGUAGCGAAUGGG